rnacentral:rRNA from 1 species
UACGAAGGGGGCUAGCGUUGUUCGGAAUUACUGGGCGUAAAGCGCGCGCAGGCGGCUAUCCAAGUCAGUGGUGAAAGCCCGGAGCUCAACUCCGGAACUGCCAUUGAAACUGUUUAGCUUGAGGAUGAGAGAGGUGAGUGGAAUUCCCAGUGUAGAGGUGAAAUUCGUAGAUAUUGGGAAGAACACCGGUGGCGAAGGCGGCUCGCUGGGACGUGACUGACGCUGAGACGCGAAAGCGUGGGGAGCAAACAGG